rnacentral:rRNA from 1 species
GGCCUACCAUGGUGGUAACGGGUAACGGGGUGUUAGGGCACGACACCGGAGAGGGAGCCUGAGAAACGGCUACCACAUCCAAGGAUGGCAGCAGGCGCGCAAAUUACCCAAUCCCGACACGGGGAGGUAGUGACAAUAAAUAACAAUACGGGGUUCUUUAGGAUCUCGUAAUUGGAAUGAGUACAAUUUAAAUCUCUUAACGAGGAACAAUUGGAGGGCAAGUCUGGUGCCAGCAGCCGCGGUAAUUCCAGCUCCAAUAGCGUAUAUUAAAGUUGUUGCAGUUAAAAAGCUCGUAGUUGAAUUUCGGGGUUAGUAAGUUGGUCAUGCCUUUGGUAUGCACUGGCUUUACUGAUUCCUCCUUCUUGACGAACCAUGAUGUCAUUAAUUUGGUGUUGCGGGAAAUCAGGACUGUUACUUUGAAAAAAUUAGAGUGUUUAAAGCAGGCUAACGCUUGAAUACAUUAGCAUGGAAUAAUGAAAUAGGACGUUAAUCCUAUUUUGUUGGUUUCUAGGAUCGACGUAAUGAUUAAUAGGGAUAGUUGGGGGCAUUAGUAUUCAAUUGUCAGAGGUGAAAUUCUUGGAUUUAUUGAAGACUAACUACUGCGAAAGCAUUUGCCAAGGAUGUUUUCAUUAAUCAAGAACGAAAGUUAGGGGAUCGAAGACGAUCAGAUACCGUCGUAGUCUUAACCAUAAACUAUGCCGACUAGGGAUCGGAUGAUGUUAAUUUUUUAAUGACUCAUUCGGCGCCUUACG